UCCCAGGUGGCUCAGAGGUAAAGCCUCUGCCUGCAAUGCGGGAGACCUGGGUUCAAUCCCUGGUUCAGGAA
rfam:Ovis aries breed Texel chromosome 10, whole genome shotgun sequence.